rnacentral:rRNA from 1 species
CAGCCGCCGCGGGGAUACAGAGGGUGCAAGCGUUAAUCGGAAUUACUGGGCGUAAAGCGCGCGUAGGUGGUUUGUUAAGUUGGAUGUGAAAGCCCCGGGCUCAACCUGGGAACUGCAUCCAAAACUGGCAAGCUAGAGUACGGUAGAGGGUGGUGGAAUUUCCUGUGUAGCGGUGAAAUGCGUAGAUAUAGGAAGGAACACCAGUGGCGAAGGCGACCACCUGGACUGAUACUGACACUGAGGUGCGAAAGCGUGGGGAGCAAACAGGAUUAGAUACCCCCGUAGUCCCUGUCUCUUAUAC